AUUGAACGCUGGCGGCGUGCCUAACACAUGCAAGUCGAGCGGUAACAGGUGUAGCAAUACAUGCUGACGAGCGGCGAACGGGUGAGUAAUGCUUUGGAAUCUUCCCAGUAGUGGGGAAUAACCAGUCGAAAGAUUGGCUAAUACCGCAUACGUCUGUAAAGGGAAAGCGGGGGCUCGCAAGACCUCGCGCUAUUGGAUGAGCCAAAGUCGGAUUAGCUAGUUGGGGGGUAAUGGCCUACCAAGGCGACGAUCCGUAGCUGGUCUGAGAGGACGACCAGCCACACCGGAACUGAGACACGGUCCGGACUCCCACGGGAGGCAGCAGUGGGGAAUAUUGGACAAUGGGGGAAACCCUGAUCCAGCGACGCCGCGUGUGUGAAG
rnacentral:rRNA from 1 species